rnacentral:rRNA from 1 species
UGACUGCGUACCUUUUGUAUAAUGGGUCAGCGACUUAUAUUCUGUAGCAAGGUUAACCGAAUAGGGGAGCCGGAGGGAAACCGAGUCUUAAUUGGGCGUUAAGUUGCAGGGUAUAGACCCGAAACCCGGUGAUCUAGCCAUGGGCAGGUUGAAGGUUGGGUAACACUAACUGGAGGACCGAACCGACUAAUGUUGAAAAAUUAGCGGAUGACCUGUGGCUGGGGGUGAAAGGCCAAUCAAACCGGGAGAUAGCUGGUUCUCCCCGAAAGCUAUUUAGGUAGCGCCUCGUGAAUUCAUCUCCGGGGGUAGAGCACUGUUUCGGCUAGGGGGCCAUCCCGGCUUACCAACCCGAUGCAAACUGCGAAUACCGGAGAAUGUUAUCACGGGAGACACACGGCGGGUGCUAACGUCCGUCGUGAAGAGGGAAACAACCCAGACCGCCAGCUAAGGUCCCAAAGUCAUGGUUAAGUGGGAAACGAUGUGGGAAGGCCCAGACAGCCAGGAUGUUGGCUUAGAAGCAGCCAUCAUUUAAAGAAAGCGUAAUAGCUCACUGGUCGAGUCGGCCUGCGCGGAAGAUGUAACGGGGCUAAACCAUGCACCGAAGCUGCGGCAGCGACACUCAGGUGUUGUUGGGUAGGGGAGCGUUCUGUAAGCCUGUGAAGGUGUGUCGUGAGGCAUGCUGGAGGUAUCAGAAGUGCGAAUGCUGACAUAAGUAACGAUAAAGCGGGUGAAAAGCCCGCUCGCCGGAAGACCAAGGGUUCCUGUCCAACGUUAAUCGGGGCAGGGUGAGUCGACCCCUAAGGCGAGGCCGAAAGGCGUAGUCGAUGGGAAACGGGUUAAUAUUCCCGUACUUGGUGUUACUGCGAAGGGGGGACGGAGAAGGCUAUGUUGGCCGGGCGACGGUUGUCCCGGUUUAAGCGUGUAGGCUGGUUUUCCAGGCAAAUCCGGAAAAUCAAGGCUGAGGCGUGACGACGAGGCACUACGGUGCUGAAGCAACAAAUGCCCUGCUUCCAGGAAAAGCCUCUAAGCAUCAGGUAACAUCAAAUCGUACCCCAAACCGACACAGGUGGUCAGGUAGAGAAUACCAAGGCGCUUGAGAGAACUCGGGUGAAGGAACUAGGCAAAAUGGUGCCGUAACUUCGGGAGAAGGCACGCUGACACGUAGGUGAAGUGAUUUACUCACGGAGCUGAAGUCAGUCGAAGAUACCAGCUGGCUGCAACUGUUUAUUAAAAACACAGCACUGUGCAAACACGAAAGUGGACGUAUACGGUGUGACGCCUGCCCGGUGCCGGAAGGUUAAUUGAUGGGGUCAGCGCAAGCGAAGCUCCUGAUCGAAGCCCCGGUAAACGGCGGCCGUAACUAUAACGGUCCUAAGGUAGCGAAAUUCCUUGUCGGGUAAGUUCCGACCUGCACGAAUGGCGUAAUGAUGGCCAGGCUGUCUCCACCCGAGACUCAGUGAAAUUGAACUCGCUGUGAAGAUGCAGUGUACCCGCGGCAAGACGGAAAGACCCCGUGAACCUUUACUAUAGCUUGACACUGAACAUUGAGCCUUGAUGUGUAGGAUAGGUGGGAGGCUUUGAAGCGUGGACGCCAGUCUGCGUGGAGCCAACCUUGAAAUACCACCCUUUAAUGUUUGAUGUUCUAACGUGGACCCGUAAUCCGGGUUGCGGACAGUGUCUGGUGGGUAGUUUGACUGGGGCGGUCUCCUCCUAAAGAGUAACGGAGGAGCACGAAGGUUGGCUAAUCCUGGUCGGACAUCAGGAGGUUAGUGCAAUGGCAUAAGCCAGCUUGACUGCGAGCGUGACGGCGCGAGCAGGUGCGAAAGCAGGUCAUAGUGAUCCGGUGGUUCUGAAUGGAAGGGCCAUCGCUCAACGGAUAAAAGGUACUCCGGGGAUAACAGGCUGAUACCGCCCAAGAGUUCAUAUCGACGGCGGUGUUUGGCACCUCGAUGUCGGCUCAUCACAUCCUGGGGCUGAAGUAGGUCCCAAGGGUAUGGCUGUUCGCCAUUUAAAGUGGUACGCGAGCUGGGUUUAGAACGUCGUGAGACAGUUCGGUCCCUAUCUGCCGUGGGCGCUGGAGAACUGAGGGGGGCUGCUCCUAGUACGAGAGGACCGGAGUGGACGCAUCACUGGUGUUCGGGUUGUCAUGCCAAUGGCACUGCCCGGUAGCUAAAUGCGGAAGAGAUAAGUGCUGAAAGCAUCUAAGCACGAAACUUGCCCCGAGAUGAGUUCU